CAAGUCCCAGAACGGUACACUAUUCCCGGACAGUGAUGGCAGACCAGCAGGUGUACCGCAUGGAUGAAUAAACAGCUCCAGAGAGCGGCAGAGACCAGACCAAGUCCCAGAACGACACACUAUUCCCGGACAGUGAUGGCAGAACAGCAGGUGUACCGCAUGGAUGAAUACACAGUUCCAGAGAGCGGGAGAUCCCGGCCGAUGUCCGAUGACGAAGCACUGUAUGGGACACUUUGAAGGAAGGGUCGGUCUCCUGGAUGAAAAGAACUUUAAUUUUCUGACUUAAAAUACGGAGUUAAAGUUUCCAGUCGGGACGAUAAGGAGGGCAAAAAAACCCGGACUUUUUUGGCUCCGUCAGAAACUAAGUAAAAGUCGGAAUAUGUGAAGGAAAGCUCAGAAAAUGCCUGGAGAAAUUUGAGCGGACCGGAAAAAAAAAGUUCCAGCCGACAUCACUGGGCCACCAGGUCGCAGAUUCCUGAAACCCGGUUUUUAGAAACAUAGGCCUCCAGGAGUGAGGACCGGCGUUUGUGCGGUUCGGAUCCGACUCAGACCUCAGUAUUUUCGGACACCCUCGGACAGUGGCGGGGGUGGAAGAACCGGAGCCUCAUGCAGAACUGGCUGUCGGGGAGCAAGCGGACGCUACCCCGGCAGGAGGCAUCAUUCCGGGCACUGUGGCUGAUCGGUAGCUUUCGUGGAUGGAUGACUGAGCGAACGAACGAGAUGACGGCGGUGCGUCCUGGCUGAUGUCCCAGUACGGGGCACUAUUCUCGGAUGCUGAUGGCAGAACAGCAGGUGCAGUGGACGGAUGAACACACAGUUCCAGACAGCGUGAUAUCCCAGACCAUGUCCCAGAACGGCACACUAUUCUCGGAUGCUGAUGUCAGAACAGCAGGUGUAACGCAUGGAUGAAUACAGAGUUCCAGAGAGCGGCAGAGACCAGACCAUGUCCCUGUACGGGACACUAUUCUAGGAUGCUGAUGUCAGAACAGCAGGUGCAGCGGACGGACUAAUACACAGUUCCAGAGAGCGGUAUUUCACGACAGAUAUCCGAUGAUGAAGCGCCAUUGUCGGACACUGAUGGCAGAACAGCAGGUGCACUGGAUGAAGGAAAUAAACAGAACAUAGUUCCAGAGAGCGUGAUAUCCCAGACCAAGUCCCAGAACGGCGCGCUAUUGUCGGACACUGAUGGCAGAACAGCAGGUGCACUGGAUGAAGGAAAUAAACAGAACAUAGUUCCAGAGAGCGUGAUAUCCCAGACCAAGUCCCAGAACGGCCCACUAUUCCCGGACACUCAUCUACUUAAAAUCUCCCUGAUUACCUGCCAGAACAGAGCAGAUCCAGAGAGCGGUAUUUCACGGCAGCUAUCCGAUGAUGAAGCGCUAUUGUCGGACACUGAUGGCAGAACAGCAGGUGCACUGGAUGAAGGAAAUGAACAGAACAUAGUUCCAGAGAGCGGGAUAUGCGAGACCAUGUCCCAGUACGGGACACUAUUCUCGGAUGCUGAUGUCAGAACAGCAGGUGCAGUGGAUGAAGGAAAUAAUCAGAACAUAGUUCCAGAGAGCGGGAUAUCCCAGACCAUGUCCCAGUACGGGACACUAGUCUCGGAUGCUGAUGUCAGAACAGCAGGUGCAGUGGAUGAAGGAAAUAAUCAGAACAUAGUUCCAGAGAGCGGGAUAUCCCAGACCAUGUCCCAGUACGGGACACUAUUCUCGGAUGCUGAUGUCAGAACAGCAGGUGCAGUGGAUGGAUGAAUUAAACAGUUCCAGAGAGCGUGAGAUCCCGGCUGAUAUCCGAUGAAGAAGCACUGUUCUCGGACACUGAUGGCAGAACAGCAGGUGCAGUGGAUGGAUGAAGUAAACAGUUCCAUAGAGCAGGAGAUCCCAGACCAUGUCCCAGAACGACACACUAUUCUCGGAUGCUGAUGUCAGAACAGCAGGUGUAACGCAUGGAUGAAUACAGAGUUCCAGAGAGCGGCAGAACCCAGACCAUGUCCCAGUACGGGACACUAUUCUCGGAUGCUGAUGUCAGAACAGCAGGUGCAGUGGAUGGAUGAAAUAAACAGUUCCAUGGAGCGGUAUUUCCCGACAGAUAUCCGACGACGAAGGACCAUUUGGGACGCUUUGCAGGAAGGGUCGGUCUCCUGGAUGAAAAGGACUUUAAUUUUCUGACUUAAAAUCCGGAGUUAAAGUUUCCAGUCGGGACGAUAAGGAGGGCAAAAAAACCCGGACUUUUUUGGCUCCGUCAGAAACUAAGUAAAAGUCGGACUAUGUGAAGGAAAGCUCAGAAAAUGCCUGGAGAAUUUUGAUCGGACCGGAAAAAAAAAGUUGUAGCCGACAUCACUGGGCCACCAGGUCGCAGAUUUCAGAAACCUGGUUUUUAGAAACAUAGGCCUCCAGGAGUGAGGACCGACGUUUGUGCGUUUUGGAUCCGACUCAGACCUCAGUAUUUUCGGACGCCCUCGGACAGUGGCGAGGGUGAACGAACCGGAGCCUCGUUCCGGGCACUGUGGCUGGUCGGUGGGUUUCGCGGCUGGAUCGCUGAGCGAGAGAGAUGGCGGCGGGGCGGCCCGCCUCCGGUGCGCCCUGGCUUCGGCCGGGGCGCGCCGGUGGGUGAAACACUUUGAUCGAACGAGAUUGCUUGAGCGGAGGCGGGGCGGCCCGCCUCCGGUGCGCGCGCCCGCCGGCGGUGCGCCGUCCCCGGGCGCUUUGGCUUCGGCCGGGGCGCGCCGGUGGAGGAAAUGCUUUACGUGAAAAUUCUGACCGAUUUGCAACCGUGACCCGCCACCCGGGGGCCCCCGCCAGAUGGGCGGAGGGUUCCCCGGAACGCGGGUCUGCCUCUAUGCCCGGGUGGGUUGGUGCGCGCGCUGGGUUCGGCCCCCGAUGGCCCUGCGCUUCUCCCCGGGCGCCCGAUUUGUAGCGAGUCCGAGACGGCCCGUCUGCCC
ensembl:lncRNA